GACGAACGCUGGCGGCGUGCUUAACACAUGCAAGUCGAGCGGUAAGGCCCUUUUGGGGGUACACGAGCGGCGAACGGGUGAGUAACACGUGGGUGACCUGCCCUCAGCUCUGGGAUAAGCCUGGGAAACUGGGUCUAAUACUGGAUAUGACCUUUCCUCGCAUGGGGUUGGGUGGAAAGUUUUUCGGCUGGGGAUGGGCCCGCGGCCUAUCAGCUUGUUGGUGGGGUGAUGGCCUACCAAGGCGACGACGGGUAGCCGGCCUGAGAGGGCGACCGGCCACACUGGGACUGAGACACGGCCCAGACUCCUACGGGAGGGCAGCAGUGGGGAAUAUUGCGCAAUGGGCGGAAGCCUGACGCAGCGACGCCGCGUGGGGGA
rnacentral:rRNA from 1 species